UAAAAGAAAUAACUUCUAUAUGGCAUCGGAU
rnacentral:piRNA from 1 species